CCGGGGAGUCGGCCUCGGGGCUCUGCUCUCCUACCUCAGUCUGCCCUACCCUGGAAUGGGGAAAAUGCGGACAUGCCACUCAGUCCGGCCGCGAACAGUGCUCCAGAACUCAGAGAGUUUUCCAGACGGGUGGAGAUCGCGUUCCCUGCCCGCCGAGGUCCCAUCGCUUCCCUGCUGGGAAGACAAAUGAGGCGCUUUAGCCGUCUCCACGGCCAGCCCCUCCCUCAUAACCCGAGAUUCUUUGUGGGCUCUUAGUCCAUAGCUGCCUUUGAGGUGGUGUAGACCUUGCUAACCAGGACGGCCCAGUAGGCAGAGCUCAUUUUUAUUCCUGUCUGCAAUCGUGCAAAAACGCCUCUUAUGGAAAAGCCAGAGCGCCAGGAGUCAGCAAAACACACUAAAGAUUGGGCAGUCACUGGGGAGAACUGCAAUUAACCUUUAAGAUACUACGUGUCAGGCCUCUGAGCCCAAACUAAGCCAUCAUAUCCCCUGUGACCUGCAUGUAUACAUACAGAUGGCCUGAAGCAACUGAAGAUCCACAAAAGAAGUGAAAAUAGCCUUAACUGAUGACAUUCCACCAUUGAGAUUUGUUCCUGCCCCACCCUAACUGAUACGAUAUAUUCUCCCCCGCCCUUAAGAAGACUCAGCCCGCCUGCACCCAGGUGAAAUAUACAGCCUUGUUGCUCACACAAAGCCUGUUUGGUGGUUUCUUCACACGGAUGCAUGUGACAUUUGGUGCUGAAGACCCAGGACAGGAGGACUCCUUUGGGAGACCAGUGCCCUGUUGUCGCCCUCACUCCGUGAGGAGAUCCACCUAUGAUCUCAGGUCCUCAGACCAACCAGCCCAAGGAACAUCUUGCCAAUUUCAAAUCGGGUUGUCAGAAUCUGCAGAGAAGCUUCCUCCAAUCUCCAGCCUGAGAGUUCAGGCCUGGUUACCAGCAUUCUAGAAGCUGAAAGAGGAGAAGUUCUUGGAAGACUAAGAAGUCCAACAUUCGAUGGCACACAAGGAGAUUAUAUCCCGCACCUGGCUUGGAGGAUCCUACGCCCAUGGAGCCUCGCUCAUUGGUGGCACAGCAGUCUGAGAUCAAACUGCAAGGUGGCAGCGAGGCUGGGGGCAGGGCGCCCACCAUUGCCGAGGCUUGAGUAGGUAAACAAAGCACCCGGGAAGCUCGAACUGGGUGGAGCCCACCCCAGCUCAAGGAGGCCUGCCUGCCUCUGUAGACUCCACCUCUGGGGGCAGGGCAUAGCCAAACAAAGGCAGCUGAAACCUCUGCAGACUUAAAUGUCCCUAUCUGACAGCUUUGAAGAGAGUAGUGGUUCUCCCAGCACGCAGCUUGAGAUCUGAGAAUGGACAGACUGCCUCCUCAAGUGGGUCCCUGACCCACAAGUAGCUUAACUGGGAGGCAACCCCCAGUAGGGGCAGACUGACACCUCACACGGCCAGGCACUCCUCUGAGACAAAACUUCCACAGGAAUGAUCAGGCAGCAACAUUUGCUGUUCACCAAUAUCUGCUGUUCUGCAGCCUCCGCUGCUGAUACCCAGGCAAACAGGGUCUGGAGUGGACCUCCAGCAAACUCCAACAGACCUGCAGCUGAGGGUCCUGACUGUUAGAAGGAAAACUAACAAACAGAUAGGACAUCCACACCAAAACCCCAUCUGUACGUCACCAUCAUCAAAGACCAAAGGUAGAUAAAAUCACAAAGAUGGGGAAAAAACAGAGCAGAAAAACUGGAAACUCUAAAAAUCAGAGUGCCUCUCCUUCUCCAAAGGAAUGCAGCUCCUCACCAGCAGUGGAACAAAGCUGGAUGGAGAAUGACUUUGACGAGUUGAGAGAAGAAGGCUUCAGAUGAUCAAACUAGUCCGAGCUAAAGGAGGAAGUUCGAACCCAUGGCAAAGAAGUUAAAAACCUUGAAAAAAAAUUAGAUGAAUGGCUAACUAGAAUAACCAAUGCAGAGAAGUCCCUAAAGGACCUGAUGGAGCUGAAAACCACGGCACAAGAACUAUGUGACGAAUGCACAAGCCUCAGUAGCCGAUUCAAUCAACUGGAAGAAAGGGUAUCAGUGUUGGAAGAUCAAAUGAAUGAAAUGAAGUGAGAAGAGAAGUUUAGAGAAAAAAGAAUAACAAGAAAUGAACAAAGCCUCCAAGAAAUAUGGGACUAUGUGAAAAGACCAAAUCUACAUCUGAUUGGUGUACCUGAAAGUGACGGGGAGAAUGGAACCAAGUUGGAAAACACUCUGCAGGAUAUUAUCCAGGAGAACUUCCCCAAUCUAGCAAGGCAGGCCAACAUUCAAAUUAAGGAAAUACAGAGAACACCACAAAGAUACUCCUUGAGAAGAGCAACUCCAAGACACAUAAUUGUCAGAUUCACCAAAGUUGAAAUGAAGGAAAAAAUGUUAAGGGCAGCCAGAGAGAAAGGUUGGGUUACCCACAAAGGGAAGCCCAUCAGACUAACAGCUGAUCUCUUGGCAGAAACUCUACAAGCCAGAAG
rnacentral:lncRNA from 1 species